AUUAUUUACAUUUAUUUUUAGGCACCAUACUGGACAUACCUAUUAUGUGCACUCGGGCUCUUUAUCUACCAGUCACUGGAUGCUAUUGACGGGAAACAAGCCAGAAGAACAAAUUCUUGUUCUCCUUUAGGAGAACUUUUUGACCAUGGUUGUGACUCUCUUUCCACAGUAUUGAUGGCAGUUGGAGCUUCAAUUGCUGUGCGCUUAGGAACUCAUCAUGACUGGUUGUUUUUCUGCUGUUUUAUUGGGAUGUUCUUAUUUUAUUGUGCUCAUUGGCAGACUUAUGUUUCGGGUGUGUUGAGGUUUGGAAAAGUGGAUGUAAAUGAAAUUCAAGUAGGUUUAAUGGUCAUCUUUGUGUUGUCUACAUUUGGAGGAGCAACAAUGUGGGACUAUACGAUACCCAUUCUAGAAGUAAAAUUGAAGAUCUUCCCAGUUCUUGGAGUUGUAGGUGGAGCAAUUUUUUCCUGUUCAAAUUAUUUCCAUGUUAUCCUCCAUGGUGGAGUUGGCAAGAAUGGAUCCACUAUAGCAGGCACCAGUGUCUUGUCACCUGGACUUCACAUAGGAAUAAUUAUUAUACCGGCAAUAAUGAUCUAUAAAAAGUCAGCAACUAAUGUGUUUGAAAAGCAUCCUUGUCUUUAUACCCUAAUGUUUGGAUGUGUCUUUGCUAAAGUAGCACAAAAAUUGGUGAUAGCUCACAUGACUAAAAGUGAACUGUAUCUUCAAGACACUGCCUUUUUGGGCCCAGGUCUUUUAUUUUUAGACCAGUACUUUAAUAAUUUUAUAGACGAAUAUGUUGUUCUAUGGAUAGCAAUGGUCAUUUCUUCAUUUGAUAUGAUUAUGUACUUUAGUGCUUUGUGCCUGCAAAUUUCAAGACACCUUCAUCUAAGUAUCUUCAAGAUUUCAUGUCAUCCAGCACCUGAACAGGUUCACAAGCAUAUUGACUAAUAACCCAAGGAAAAAAGGAGAAGCAGUUAGGGGAACCUAGGAGUGAAGGAAAUCCCCUUUUGCAGGAGGUUCAAGUUCUCCCUUCAAAGAGUCAUCAGAAUAACAUGGAUUGAAGAGACUUUCGAACAAUUGCCAUCUCUUGCUGCUGCUGUUCAUGAAAGGAGAUAUUAAACAUUUGUUUAAUUUUUAGAUAAGUGUUAACCAUAUUUCAACAAAUAAAAUAUUUCAAUGCUUAAAACAUA